AUCGCUGAAGAUGAUGGCGUAGCAAUAAGAACAAUUGAAAAACUAGGAGUAGAUAUUACUCAAC
rnacentral:tRNA from 1 species